rnacentral:tRNA from 1 species
UGGUAGCUCAGUCGGGUAAGCGCCCGCUUCUCACGCAAGAGAUGCGGGUUCGAAUCCCGGCGUUGACAU